GUUCUUCUGCCUUCGUUCAGAACGAAUUGGAAAAAUUCGUCUUGAAUUUCGUUCUGAACGAAGGCAGAAGAAU